AAAUUAUGGACUUUCCAAGGGUGAUUAUAGUGAAAAUUCUUUCAAGAUUGCCAAUCAGGUUUACACUCUUGGAGUUGAUGAGAAAUGGAGAAUUCUAGGUGAAGUUCCGUUUUUUCGAUGGGGAACAUUUGGCAAUGUCACUGUUAAUGGUGCUCUUCAUUGGAUUAAUGAUGUAGAUCCUUAUGCUAUGCCCACCAUUUACUCCUUCGGUAUUGGGACAGAAAAAGUGAAGCCUUUGCCAGCUCCACCAGGUUUAGAAACUCCAUCCAUCUGCUGGAGACUCGCUAAGUUGGGGGAUUUUUUGUGUCUUUCUGAUGAUCACGAAAGUGGUCGAUGAAGGAGUAUGGAGUUUCCGAAUCUUGGGUUAAAAAUCGCAUUUCGAUGAGCAGUAUUCAUCCUGAUAUCACUCAUCAGAGAUGGACACCAAUGAUAAUUUGGAAAGAUGGAGAAAUCUUGUUGCAUAAUGGCUAUGACACAGGAGAUCUCAUCUCUUACAACCCAAAAGAGAAGUGUUUUAGGAAGAUCGAUGUUUACGGUGGUGAAGCUGCAGCUAGUACAUGCAUUCCCAGCUUUUACUCACUCAAGGCUAUUGUGGGGAACAACUUUGAGAUCUCAAAUGUCUAUCCAAAGAUAGAGAUAGUUUAUAAUUUACUUUGCGUAAUUUCUUCCAAGUUAUUAUGUUUUGCAUCUACGUUUCUUGUAUAAUUUACUUUAAAGCCUGAUGAAUUCAUACUGUUUUCUGGAUGAUAUCUACUUGUAUGAAUCAAAUGAAGGAACAGAAUAUUGACUUGUUA